rnacentral:rRNA from 1 species
GAUGAACGCUAGCUACAGGCUUAACACAUGCAAGUCGCGGGGCAGCAUGGGGGUUGCUUGCACUCCCCGAUGGCGACCGGCGCACGGGUGAGUAGCGCGUAUCCAACCUGCCCUUCACCACGGGAUAACCCGGCGAAAGUCGGACUAAUACCGUAUGUUGUCCAUUGACGGCAUCCGAUUUGUACGAAAGGCUUGGCGGUGAGGGAGGGGGAUGCGUCCGAUUAGCCAGACGGCGGGGUAACGGCCCACCGUGGCUACGAUCGGUAGGGGUUCUGAGAGGAAGGUCCCCCACACUGGAACUGAGACACGGUCCAGACUCCUACGGGAGGCAGCAGUGAGGAAUAUUGGUCAAUGGGCGUAAGCCUGAACCAGCCAAGUAGCGUGCAGGAUGACGGCCCUAUGGGUUGUAAACUGCUUUUAUGCGGGGAUAAAGUGGCCCACGUGUGGGCUUUUGCAGGUACCGCAUGAAUAAGGACCGGCUAAUUCCGUG